rnacentral:rRNA from 1 species
CCUACGGGUGACAGCAGUAGGGAAUCUUCCACAAUGGGCGAAAGCCUGAUGGAGCAACGCCGCGUGGGUGAAGAAGGUCUUCUGAUCGUAAAACCCUGUUGUUAGAGAAGAAAGUUCGUGUGAGUAACUGUUCACGUUUCGACGGUAUCUAACCAGACAGCCACGGCUAACUACGUGCCAGCAGCCGCGGGAAUACGUAGGUGGCAAGCGUUAUCCGGAGUUAUUGGGCGUAAAGGGAACGCAGGCGGGAGAUUAAGUCUGAUGGGAAAGCCUUCGGCUUAACCGGAGUAGUGCAUUGGAAACUGGGAGACUUGAGUGCAGUAGAGGAGGGUGGAACUCCAUGUGUAGCGGUGAAAUGCGUAGAUAUAUGGAAGAACACCAGUGGCGAAGGCGGCUCGCUGGGCUGUAACUGACGCUGAGGUUCGAAAGCGUGGGGAGCAAACAGGAUUAGAUACCCCUGUAGUC